GUAGGCCCCGCCUGCGCUAGGUAUGCGUUAGCAAUCUAGAUCUCCUAUAUCUAUGGUCGGGACCCGACCGUUGGAAUGUUAUUAAUAAUUCAUUUACAAGCAUAGCGAACCAGAAGAGUGUUAAAAAUUCAGUAUAAUAUAUAUCUAACUGAUAUUUUACAACUGUAGCACUGAGUUCAAAAUGUAAACAAAGCGUUUGUUUACAUUACGGACUUUACAUGGUAUUUAAUGAGACGAUGCGUUGAAGGGUAAGAAUUGUGCAAUCUGUUGGAAAAAGAUUAUUAAAACAAGGUUAUCAAGUUUGGAUUAGUGUCAAAUUAAGAUUAGGGUUAUAGAUUAAGAUUAUAUUAGUGGUUAGAGAAUAGGGCUAGGUUCAUCUAUCCCAAUAAGUUAUUGCAUACAAAUACAAUCGGUUUACAAUUACGAUAGAUUAUUGGUUACAACGUGCGGAACGGCUGACAAUUGCAAGAUCGUAUGCUCCAGAUCAUGUCAUUUACAGUAGUGAACCCUUCGCUUAUCGAAAUAAUUUCCCAGCCACGUCUCAAGCGGUUCAGCCUCGAUACUCGAUGAGCUGACGUCGUUUUAACAAAAAGUGCACAUUAAUGUAUAUAAAUUAUAUAAUAUCAAUAGUAAUAUUGAAUCGGAAAUAGAAACAAUUAUUUCCAUAGCCAAGCGUACGCAACGACAUUGCGCAGAGACACCAACACUAUUGCUCGUACUGUAGAUAGUAUAUUGACUUAUG